CCAAAGGCUCUUUUAAGAGCCACUCCCUUUCUCUUCAGAAGAGCUG
rfam:Mesitornis unicolor contig77936, whole genome shotgun sequence.